GCGAAAGUUGCGCAGAAAGAGUAGGCAAUCGUUGAGGCCGGCGAAUAGAGAGAAGCAGCCACAAAACGGGUUUUCCCUAAAGAAGAGCUCGAACACCGAGUGCUCCUGGUGCCUCCCGGCACGCCAGUACGCGCGCUGCCAUGUUAUUCAAACUCACGUUCCAACUCGUCCACCGGAAGCCAACGAGGAUUUCUGGGACUUGAAGUUCGGACAGUCGCUUCGCAUGCUGAUUGACUUUGUGUGUACAGUAUUUCAACCAAAUAACUAACAGUUAGACAGCCCUUUCGAUAAAAUAACCCCUUUGAUGGCUAUCCAACCUUUCUAUCAUAAAACCGCUUUUCACGUUUGUCAGUGGAUUGUACUAUUCGGCGUGAAUACAUAUGCUAACGGAGAAGCGGCAACGUCGUCCAUAAUUUCGAAGUGUGGUGACGGAUGGUCCGAUGCGAACACUUGACACAGAAGAGGAUGGAGCGGCAGAAGAUUACGGGACUUUGCAUUCAGAAUCAGCCUGAUCUAUGGCUUUUCCAAAUCUUCACUUUGGGACAUUGAACUGGAUGCUUUGACUACAGACUCUUCGUAUUCCAAACUGUGUUUACGAAUAUCUUUCUAUUUCUGUAUCUGAAUAAACAAAAAAAUCAAUUUCCCUAAACUCCCCAGAACUGUGACUUCGUCUUUCAUUUUCCCUUGA